UGUUCCCUUCCUGAGCUCCUGCAGCACCCAGCCAGGAAGGAAGCAGCAACCUUGACCCUGAGAAUGAAGAUGCCCACAGGGAGAGUCAAAGCGGGACCUCAUUUGCUUAAGUGAAUCCUCUAUGGUUUCUCUGCACUGUUCCUCCUGUGGAAAGAUCCUGUAAGGGAACCUGCUCACUUUUUUAAAGACCACCAACAUUCCAAGGUAGGAGUGGAGGGAGCAUUUCAGAUGGGAAGGGCUGUACCUCCUUUAUUCUCAUCGUCAUUACCACCCCUGCAGGAGACAGACCCGCCCCCAGGGGGAAAGGGGAUUCUCCACAGAAGCAGAGCCAAUCAGGGCUAUCUAUCUAUAUCAGGGAGCUGCUUGCAGAAUCAGGUCUUCACCCUGGAUGGAUUACUUAGCCACUGGCUCUGUGAUCACCUUAAAGAGAAAUGGGCCCUGAGUCUGACUCUGGCAUGGCAUGGCCUUCACAGCUUCCAGUCACACCUUGUUCAGAUGGAGCUGCAGAACUACAGGCUGGGGUGGACUUGCACUGCGAUUCUGUUUGAUUUCUGCUUUGUUAGUGUAGAAUCCUUUCAGCAAGGGUUGCUGAUUGUGACACAUGGAGUUACUGAGAGAUGGAAAACUGCAAAGUGUGCACAGCUACUUGACAUACUUUCUUGACU
rnacentral:lncRNA from 1 species